rnacentral:rRNA from 1 species
UGGGGAAUUUUGCACAAUGGGGGAAACCCUGAUGCAGCGACGCCGCGUGAUUUAGAGGGCCUUCGGGUUGUAAAAAUCUUUUGUAUGGGAAGAAAAUGACAGUACCAUACGAAUAAGGACCGGCUAAUUACGUGCCAGCAGCCGCGGUAAUACGUAAGGUCCGAGCGUUGUCCGGAAUCAUUGGGCGUAAAGGGUACGUAGGCGGAUAAGCAAGUUAGAAGUGAAAUCCUAUAGCUCAACUAUAGUAAGCUUUUAAAACUGCUCAUCUUGAGGUAUGGAAGGGAAAGUGGAAUUCCUAGUGUAGCGGUGAAAUGCGCAGAUAUUAGGAGGAAUACCGGUGGCGAAGGCGACUUUCUGGACUUUUACUGACGCUCAGGUACGAAAGCGUGGGGAGCAAACAGG